rnacentral:lncRNA from 1 species
GUGACGUGUUUCCGGUCCGCGGUUAUUGAGUUCCUUAACACAGACGAGGCUAAAUGUAGCGUCGUUUAUCGAUAAUUAGGUGGAUCACCACAUAAUACACGCAUUAGGUUCAAUGCUUAGGUAAUUAGACGUUUGGAAGAGACGUUUGCGGUACAUUUUAGAGAUACUUUUGGUGUCCAAGGUGCAUCCUCAUCCUGUUAGCUUGUUCAAGCAGCGCGAGCGGCUAACGGUCGCGCCACAUUUCUGAGUCGGAUCAGAUAACUCAGUUUAUAUUGACUUUUGGGUGUUAUAGAAGGAAUUCUGGAUCUAUCGGCAUUUGCACCUGAACUCACCAUAAGGGUGUAAGAGCCACAUCAGCCACACGGUCAUUUCCAUCAUCAGAUAUUACAACAUUGCUCCUCAUCAUCUCCAGACAUGGAAAUCGACCAGCUGGCCAGAGGUUUCCGGACACGGCUGACCACGACCUUUGACGGCGUUUUAAGGAAAGCUUUGCUAGACGUGAUGGACGUUUUUGAAAGCACCAUGCAAGACUUUAAAAUACUGAUGCAGCAGAAAGAGGCACAGAUUCAAAAACUCCAGGGGAAGCUGGUGGUAGCGGAGCUGAAACAAAAAAAGCACGUGUGUAGAAGUGACAGAAGACCAAAGACUGAGAACGAUACAGCAAAGGUUCAGGCAGUGAAGCCGGUGUCAUCGUCUGGUAAAGAACCCGAUGACUGGUGCGCUCCUUUAGGAUUUGAAACUACCCCCAAGAAGAAGGAAGAGUUUGGAUGUCCCAGCGUUCGACUGCGGCCGUUGAUCAUCUCUGUGCCCAACAUCCCAAUUUUCAGGAAUGAGAUUGUCAACUGUGACCUUGACUUUUAUUUGAAAUCCAGGAAACGGAGGGUGUCAAAAAGACUUUCUGCUUUAAAAGAAGGGACAAAUCCUAUUUUGAGCAGAAGAUUAUCUCCACGUCAACAUCCAAUAAUCCCCAUUAAACAGGAAACUUCUGACCAAACCAAUUGUAAAAUCCAGAAAAGAAGUGAGCAAAUCUUGAUGGGAAACGUAACUCAGCAUAGAAAGAAUCCCAAUGACAAAGUAACGAAGAGAUCGGCUAAAAAAAAGAAGCGUAGAAGAGUUUGUCAGAAAGUUUUUAUUUCAGAAAACGAGCGAAACAUGCACGUGCUCUUUCAUCACUGCUGCAUCGGCUGCAGAACAGUCUACCAAAAACGAGGAAGUCUCCUUCGUCACAAAUCAACCUGUGAAAAACUCAACAGAGGCCUGGCAAAAACACCCGUUUCUACCGAGACCCAAACCACAAUCAAAACAGAAAACGCGCCGUUUCUCAUCAGCAGCAUGGAUCCAGACACCAUAAGGAGCACAUUUGCAAAAAGUGCAAGAGUCAGCAUUAGCGGAACAAUGCAAGUGAUGAAGAAUUUGUGAAUAUAAACGACCAGAGCAAGAACCUGUGGACACACAGCACAAUGUUCUUCUGUAUAUUAUAACUUUUACACAUUUCUUUAUAGUUAUCGUCUGUGUAGAACUAACACUUGAAGUGAAGAGACCCCCUCUGAAAAGGAUUUAUAGGGGGAGUUUGUUUCUACAUCCUGCAAACUUUCACGUGGACAGGAUGACCCACCCCUUUCAGGGAGACCCCUGUUGUGGGAGGGUGUCACUGUCCAGAUUGUCCUCGUGACUUUUUUAACAACAAGUUCCCUCCAAAAAUAAGGACAUAGGAAAGUGGAUACAAUGCAUGACAUCACCAAAAAGAACAAUAUAUUAAUGAUCUAUGUUCAAUUUAUUAUUAUUAUUUUAUAAUCACCUAGAUUUCUUUUUCAGGUAAAAUCUCUCAGCCAAAAGGCCAUUUUAGUUGUUGUUGUUGUCCAAAAUGUCUAGAAACCUCACUAAUGUUAGUUUAAGGUAACUGCUGUUUGAACUUUUUCAUAAGAACAUUUACCAGUAAAACUCACCAACCAGUUCUGACAAAUACUGUACAUACUUAUAAGCCAUGUUUGGUAUCAAAAUGACCGAUAAGUCAUGAUAUUUUAGGUUCUCUUAUUGAAAAUGUUUAGUUUAUUUGUUUAUUUGAGCAGUUAAAGUACCGCUCAAAAGGAGUGGGCUGAAGCAAGAGCUUAUUAGCGCCGACCCCCGAGAUCAUUACAAUGAAAACAACAUAUCACACAGUACAAGGGAACAAAUUACAAGGAAUAAAGUACAAGAGCAUAGGAACA